UUAAAUUGAAGAGUUUGAUCAUGGCUCAGAUUGAACGCUGGCGGCAGGCCUAACACAUGCAAGUCGAACGGUAACAGAAAGAAGCUUGCUUCUUUGCUGACGAGUGGCGGACGGGUGAGUAAUGUCUGGGAAACUGCCUGAUGGAGGGGGAUAACUACUGGAAACGGUAGCUAAUACCGCAUAACGUCGCAAGACCAAAGAGGGGGACCUUCGGGCCUCUUGCCAUCGGAUGUGCCCAGAUGGGAUUAGCUAGUAGGUGGGGUAACGGCUCACCUAGGCGACGAUCCCUAGCUGGUCUGAGAGGAUGACCAGCCACACUGGAACUGAGACACGGUCCAGACUCCUACGGGAGGCAGCAGUGGGGAAUAUUGCACAAUGGGCGCAAGCCUGAUGCAGCCAUGCCGCGUGUAUGAAGA
rnacentral:rRNA from 1 species